AGACUUAUUAACUCAAUGUUUAGAGGUUAAGAUGUCUAAACUUGCCACAAAUGUUUAUGCAAUUUAACAAGUUCUUAGAUACCUUGUGACAAAUUUAUUAGACUACCCAAAUAUUUUCAGAUAUAAAAUGAAAACAAAAGUGAAAAUAUUGUUCUGUAUAUAAAAAUUAUAAUAGAAAAAUAGAAAAAAAAAUUAAUCUAAAUUUAAAGUAAGAUAUAGAGUUUUAUUUUUGGAGUAGGAUAUAGAGCACCCCUGGAAAAGAUUUUUCACUAAAUGUAUGUUUGCAGGUGAAAAUAGAGUAAUAUUAAAGAUGUUCUAAAAGUGAGAUAGUGCAUGAGAAUGAAAAAAAUCAUCGUUUAAUGAUGCAAAUCAUGCAAUCAUAUAAUUACAGUCUCGGAAAUAUUUUUGUAUGGAGCACAAACAUGUAAUAUGUGUUGCCUAUGGUAUUUGUACUCCGGUUAAUACCCGGACUAAAUUGAAGAGAUGCAUGUUUCAUCCAAAGGUCCGAAGUGAUGACCAAGACCCGCCU
rnacentral:lncRNA from 1 species